rnacentral:rRNA from 1 species
CAGUAGCCGCGGGAAAACGUAGGUGGCAAGCGUUGUCCGGAUUUAUUGGGCGUAAAGCGAGCGCAGGCGGUCAAUUAAGUCUGAUGUGAAAGCCCCCGGCUCAACCGGGGAGGGUCAUUGGAAACUGGUUGACUUGAGUGCAGAAGAGGAGAGUGGAAUUCCAUGUGUAGCGGUGAAAUGCGUAGAUAUAUGGAGGAACACCAGCGGCGAAGGCGACUUUCUGGUCUGUAACUGACGCUGAUGUGCGAAAGCGUGGGGAUCAAACAGGAUUAGAUACCCGAGUAGUCCCUGUCUCUUAUAC